rnacentral:rRNA from 1 species
CAAUAGCGUAUAUUAAAGUUGUUGCAGUUAAAAAGCUCGUAGUUGAAUUUCUGGUGGGCGCGCCGGUCUUCCAAGUGUUGUACUGGGCGCAGUCCGCCAUCCUUGUGGAGAGGGCUCGCAUUGAGUUGCGUGUCGGAUCCGCAUCAUUUACUGUGAAAAAAUUAGAGUGUUUAAAGCAGGCUGUCGCUUGAAUACAUUAGCAUGGAAUAAUAAGAUAGGACUUCGGUCUAUUUUGUUGGUUGCGAACCGAGGUAAUGAUUAAUAGGGAUAGUUGGGGGUAUUCAUAUUUAAUUGUCAGAGGUGAAAUUCUUGGAUUUAUGAAAGAUGAACAACUGCGAAAGCAUUUACCAAGGAUGUUUUCAUUAA